rnacentral:tRNA from 1 species
AAAUCAAUUGGUUAUUAUUGAAUUAGGUGACUGAAAAUCCUCGUGUCGGCAGUUCGAUUCUGCCUCUGGCCACCA